rnacentral:rRNA from 1 species
AUUGAACGCUGGCGGCAGGCCUAACACAUGCAAGUCGAGCGGAAGAACGGUGCUUGCUUGUGGUUUCAGCGGGGGACGGGUGUGUAAUGCCUAGGAAUCUGCUUGGCUGUGCUUUAUAAUGUCUGCAAGCGGGCGCUCAUACCGCAUAAGUGCAGAGGGCGAAAGUGGGGGAUCUUCGGACCUCACGCUCUUAGAUGAGUGUAGGUCGGACUAGCUAGUUGGUGGGUUGAAGGGCUACUAAGUCGACUAUCCGUAGCUGGUCUGCGAGGAUGAUCAGUCACACUGGAACUGAGACACGGUCCAGACGCCUACGGGAGGCAGCAGUGGGGAAUAUUGGACAAUGGGCGGAAGCCUGAUCCAGCCAUCCCGCGUGUGUGAAGAAGGUCUUCGGAUUGUAAAGCACUUUAACGGGGGAGGAAGGGCAGUAGGUUAAUACCUUGCUGUUUUGACGGUACCAACAGAAUAAGCACCGGCUAACUUCGUG